UACGAAGGGUGCAAGCGUUACUCGGAAUCACUGGGCGUAAAGCGUGCGUAGGCGGUUCGUUAAGUCUGCUGUGAAAGCCCUGGGCUCAACCUGGGAACUGCAGUGGAUACUGGCGGACUAGAGUGUGAUAGAGGAUGGUGGAAUUCCCGGUGUAGCGGUGAAAUGCGCAGAUAUCGGGAGGAACACCAAUGGCGAAGGCAGCUUGCUGGGACGGUACUGACGCUGAGGCGCGAAAGCGUGGGGAGCAAACAGG
rnacentral:rRNA from 1 species